rnacentral:lncRNA from 1 species
CGUGCGUGUGGGGGAGGACGCAGCAGGAGGACUCGCUAGAGAGCUGCUCCUCAAAACUCCUAGUACUGUAGUUGAGCAAACGGCAUUGGGAGGAAACUGCUCACUCUAAACUUGAAGUUAUCGGGUGCCACACGCAGAGCUUAUAAAAACAAAAACAAAAACAAAAACCCUUGAAAUUAGUGAGUCGACUCUUAGAUGUAGGAGUUGUGUUAGAUCUUGUGGAGCAUCUUAAGGACAAAAUCACGCGGGAGGUUAAAUGCCUUUCGUAUGGUGGGCAUGGUAUAAUAGAGAAUUGAGCUUCGAGGUCUUUCCUACGCCAUGCCCUGUUGUGAUUCUCUGGGAUCACAACUGGUGGGGAUGAUAUCUCCUUAAAAAGGACUCUAGAAGAAGAGUAAAACUGGCAUUGAUCUAAAUUAAAAGAAACCUCGACAAUUCUCAUUCUCUAAUUCAGUUUGAGUAUUGUCCUUUUUAUUUGAUAGGGCUGUGUGAAAACCUAGCUAGGGUUUAAAGGUAAGAGGCUGUCGAGGUUAAGCGAAGGAGAUGGGGGCGUGAGGGGCGUGCAAAGGCCUGGCAUACUUUCCAUUCCAUCCACAGGAUGCUUCCUGUGUAGGCGUGGCUAAAAGAGGGAGCCUAAUCUGGAGUCCCUUUCAGAUUGUGUGUGGAUAGACUGACAGAUGGGUUCCUGUCAGAGGAUGGAUUAAUUGGUUGAUCAGAAACACCAGAUAAAACAAACCAUUGAAAGCUUUCAAACUGUUGAAAGGCAGUUUAAAAAAGUUCUUUUAAUAAAAAAACUGAGACGCUUGUUUUUACCCUCAGCUUAUAAAACCAUGUUCUGUUCUACUGGGAUUCCCCGGGAAAGUUUAUAGAUAUUUAAUCAGUAUUUUUCAUUAUUUUAAAUGGAUUAGGGCCAUGAUUCCAUGUCCUCCCCUCCCAAUAAAUGCCUUCCCCACCGUACGGGUACACUCCUUUUUGAUUCAGACCUUCAAACAUAGUAGGUGUAUAAUGUGAAUUACAGAAUGAAUUGGAUUAAGUGGAAACACCUGUAUUAAGUGUUACUCCAUCACAGGAAAACAGUUUGUAAAUUGACUUAAUUUCAAUCCACUAAGAUUGGCUAGCUGUUAAGACGUGAUUAACGCUUGCUAAUUUCAUUUACUUUAGUGAUACAGUGUUAUCUUAAAUUCAUGUAGUAGAGAUAUUAAGGUAAUCAUCAAAUUGGAUUAAAAAGUUUACUCUUAGAAGGGAAAUAGAGGCUUUACUACCUAGUUUUCUCCGCUUUCCAAAAGUAGAAACCUUAUUCAAAUAGUUCAUCUCUAAGCGGACUAUAAUCUAAAAAUAAUUCUGUACUUGAACUUUUCUUUUCUCUCUCUCUUUUUUUUUUUUUUUUUUUGAUAGUAAAGGACUGAGCACAUAGCUAAAGCCUUAAUUAUUUGGGAGGUGAGGGGGAAGGGAGGUUUGACCGGAACAAGUAAAACCUGUAUCCCACUGCUUUUCCGGUGAAUGUGGGUAAAUCCCCACCCACAUGAUAUCCUAACUUGGCCUACUCUUACUCAGAAUUUCUGAUGACAUCCAAGCGGGUGGGGGAGGAGUAAGGAUGGUUUUCGUUGUAGUUUUCAAAUAUCUGACCUGUAGCUUCUUACUAGUAAUUGACUUUUUUUAAAAAUUAUAAUAGGAAAAUUUUUCUCAUGCCCUAUUUUAGUGGGUAACAAAUCUUUCACGGAUUAAUAUAUUAUUGUAGUGAGUUAAUGGUUGUUUGUAUUUUUCCCCUUUUGAGCUUUUCAACUGUGGAAGGAGGAAAUGAUCAAGUACAAAGUAAUAUGGUAAUCUAGCAGUGUCUUUUCAUUGAUGUCUCACAGGCAUAGUACACAUUACGCCUGCCUGAAUCAGAUGGUCAAGUUAUGAUGCUGGUUAGGAUAAUUUAUUUUGAGGAGGCUGAUGAAAGGUGCUUUUUGGGAAGGUUGCCAUUUUAUACAUAUUUUCUGUAUCUUUAUCUGGUUUAAAUAAUUAAAUAAUCAUUGAAUACCAGUUAAGUAUAACAUGCGGUAGAGGAUUUAAAAAUUAAACUGUAAAGUCUCUAGAGGAAUUUUCUGUUUCAGUGUGGCAAGUGAACCAGUAUAGUCAAAGCAAAGCAAUUAGAAAAUUAGUAAAUGCUAAUUUGGACGGUGUUGGUGAUAAGCUCAAAAAUUCAAAGAAAGGAGAAGUCUGAAGAGGUUUAAUGGAGGUGAUAGAACUUGAACAGCUCUUGAGGGUUGAGUAGAUUCUAGAUAAGUUGGAGGUGGUAUAGAUGGAGACAGCCCAACUAAAAAUGAUCUUCAUGAUGAUUCCAGGUGGACACAUUAGUUUUAUGAAGGAGGAACUGAGACCCCCAUUUAUUUAAAAGCAACCUGCCUAACAUAACCAGGAGAGGCAGGGUCGGAAUCAGCUCUUUAAAUGUCCUUCCAGUCCUUAUAUACACUGAGUAGCUAUGGAUUAGAUUUAAUAACUGAGAAGAAAUCUGUCAUAUAAGACAGUUCAGUGCAGGAAAAAGGCUAAAAGGAAUUUGAUGCAGGGCCUGCUCCAUCUCUCAUGUCUAGUAUACAGUGCUGGCAAAGGAUAUGUGACUAUCAAGGCCUUCUCUGGCAUUCAAAUGCUGGGCCACCCCUCAUUCCAGGUUGCUGCAUAUUUAAUGACUGUUUCUCACAUCUUUGGUACAGAGGUCACCAAUUCAGAUGCCUUCAGGGACCACUGGAUAUCCAAAUGAGUGAAAGAGGGCAGAUACAAUGUCAUAGGGACUGAAGAUGCUGGACGGUAGUGAGCUGGGAGGUUUAAAGGGCUCAGUGAUUUCUUGGUUCAGCUGAUUGUUGCCAGGUGAACAUAAGGUGGCCCAAUGUUGCCAGAUCUUCUGUUUUUUUUUAAAGCUGAGAAACAAAGAUUUUUAUGUAAAUCUCCUAAUAUUUAUUCUGUAACACUUAAGUUAAAAAUUUUAAUAAGCAUUUUCUGGACACUAAAAAAGUUUUAGGCCAAAGUUAGCCCACAGGUUUCUAGUUUUCCAAAUCUGCUGUAGUGACUGCCAAUGCAGAAGGGCAUUCUGUCUUAUACCUGUAUUAGCAGUUUUGCAGGUUAUUUCUUAAACUCAUCUAUACAAAAAGUUAAUUCUUAUUAAUGUCUUAAUACAAGGCAAUGGCUUCUGUUACAAAAAGAGAACAUAGAACCUUAUAGAGUUAUAGCACAGAAGCUCUCUCAAUGUAGAAUUUCCAGAGAGAAAAUCUUUCCCUUUUAAAUUCUCUUCCCCAGUGCUGCUUGCUCCCUUGUGCAAUGGUUGUGUUUGACCCAAUCAUUACACUGCUCUCCCUUCAAGACUUUGCCCAGCCAUGUACUAAAAUCUAAAAUGUACUAAAUUUCCUUGCCUUGGGCACAAUUGAAGUGGAAGCUUGAUAGUUUUAAAAGUACUUCAGCAGAUAUUCAUAGAGAAUAAAAAAGAGUCUGGUUAUUUAAAAAAAAAAAUUGUGAUUUGGAAAAUUGUAGCCCUAGCUGAUUUCAUUGUAUUCUCAUUCAGCUGUUUAUUCAAGUAUCAUAUUUAUCAUCUUUGAUCUUUGCAUCUGUUAUGGCCUCCAAUAUUGGGAACGUUUGCUUUUGCCUUGGGUUUUGGAAAAUUAAAAACCAAUAUGACCCUUAUAGGUUAGAAUAUUUACAGAAUUAGAAACAAGCAGUAUAGUCUAAUAGAGGAUGUAAGAGGUGAAGAUAAGACCUACUAGGUGAGAAGCACUAUGCAGGGACUAAUUCAGUGAUGGAGGAGUUAUGGAUUGUGAGAACAUAUUCAGCUCAGGGUGUUGGGAAAAGCUCCAUGGAAGAGUUAGCACUGGAAUGUCAAAGUUUUCUAUCUGCGAUAAUGGGAGUAUUAAAAUAUUCUAAGUUUAAGGAUCUUAUGAGCUAUCAUACGGUGUUUUGGGGGAAAGACAGUAAUCUGUUUUCACAGGAAUAUGUGGUGCUCGAAGGUGAUUGUGACAGAUGGAGCCAAUAAAGAUGGAUUGGGGACAGAUUGUGAGGAGAGCUUUUAGUAUUGGGUUAAGGAAUAUGGACUUCGAUCUGUGAGCAAUGGGGAACUGUUGGAGGCUUCCGAACAGGAAGUAGCAUGAUCUAAUCUAUAUGUUAGGACUGUUCAGGUGACAAAAGUAUAAGUAAUGGAUUGGAAUGGAUUCACUGUUGUAGGCAGUUAUUGGGAAGCCUGAAGGCACUUUGAUUUGGGAAAGUAAAGGGAACAAAAGAGAUUACUAUGGGGAAAGUAAGCGGGGAGACCAAUGAUCAGAGGAGGCUCUGUAUCAUUUGGGAAUUUGAAAUAAGAAAAAAGACCCGUG